GAUGAACGCUGGCGGCGUGCCUAAUACAUGCAAGUCGAGCGAACAGACGAGGAGCUUGCUCCUCUGACGUUAGCGGCGGACGGGUGAGUAACACGUGGAUAACCUAUCUAUAAGACUGGGAUAACCUCGGGAAACCGGAGCUAAUACCGGAUAAUAUAUUGAACCGCAUGGUUCAAUAGUGAAAGACGGUUUUGCUGUCACUUAUAGAUGGAUCCGCGCCGCAUUAGCUAGUUGGUAAGGUAACGGCUUACCAAGGCAACGAUGCGUAGCCGACCUGAGAGGGUGAUCGGCCACACUGGAACUGAGACACGGUCCAGACUCCUACGGGAGGCAGCAGUAGGGAAUCUUCCGCAAUGGGCGAAAGCCUGACGGAGCAACGCCGCGUGAGUGAUGAAGGUCUUCGGAUCGUAAAACUCUGUUAUUAGGGAAGAACAAAUGUGUAAGUAACUAUGCACGUCUUGACGGUACCUAAUCAGAAAGCCACGGCUAACUACGUG
rnacentral:rRNA from 1 species